rnacentral:tRNA from 1 species
GGUAGCUUAGUGGUAGAGCACUUGCUUAGCAUGUACAAAGCCCUGGGUUCAAUCCCCAGUACCA